GAUGAACGCUGGCGGCGUGCCUAAUACAUGCAAGUCGAGCGAACGGACGAGAAGCUUGCUUCUCUGAUGUUAGCGGCGGACGGGUGAGUAACACGUGGAUAACCUACCUAUAAGACUGGGAUAACUUCGGGAAACCGGAGCUAAUACCGGAUAAUAUUUUGAACCGCAUGGUUCAAAAGUGAAAGACGGUCUUGCUGUCACUUAUAGAUGGAUCCGCGCUGCAUUAGCUAGUUGGUAAGGUAACGGCUUACCAAGGCAACGAUGCAUAGCCGACCUGAGAGGGGAAUGGGCCACCUGGGAAUUGAGACACGGUCCGGACCCCUACGGAAGGCAGCAGUAGGAAAUCUUCCGCAAUGGCGAAAGCCUGACGGAGCAACGCCGCGUGAGUGAUGAAGGUCUUCGGAUCGUAAAACUCUGUUAUUAGGGAAGAACAUAUGUGUAAGUAACUGUGCACAUCUUGACGGUACCUAAUCAGAAAGCCACGGCUAACUACGUG
rnacentral:rRNA from 1 species